AAUCUUUUAAAAGAACCAAAACACAAACACAUACAUUAGCCUAGCUUGCACGUGGUGAGGAUCAUCAAUAUCCCUGUCUUCCACCUCCACUUUGUGUCCCUCUGGAAGGUCUACAGGGGCAAUAGCCCCUAUGGAGCUGUCAUCUCCUAUGACAACAAUGCCUUCUUCUGGAUACCUCCUAAAGCAGUUGCUUGAGGCUGUUUUACAGUCAACUUUUUCUUUAAGAAGUAGAAGGAGUAUAUUCUAAAAUAGCAAUAAAAAGCAGAGUAAAUACAUAUACCAGAAACAGUCAUUUAUCAUCAUCAAGUAUUAUGUACUGUACAUAAUUGUGCUAUGCCUUUUUUGUUUUGUCUUUUUGCUUUAUUAUUAUCUUUGACACAUAAUCAUACAUGUUUAUGGGGUGCUGAGUGAUAUUUCAGUAGAGGUACACAAUGUAUGAUGAUAACAUCUAGAUAGUUAACAUAUUCAUCACCUCAAACAUGUAUCAUUUAUUUGUGUUGGGAACCUUCAAAAAUCUGCUCUUCUAGCUAUUUGAAAAUAUACAAUGAAAUGUUAAUGUUAAUCACCCUAGAGUGCUACCAUAUAUACUAUGCUUUUAUGUAACUGGCAAUGCAGUAGAUUUGUUUACCCCAGCAUCACCACAAACACAUGAAUGAUACAUUGCACUGUGAUGUUACAAUGGUUAUGACAUCACUAAGUGACAGGAAUAUUUUAGCUCCAUUUAAUCUUAUGGGAACCACUGUUGUAUAUGCAAUCCAUUGUUGACUGAAAUGUCUUUUUACAGCAUGUGAUGAUAUAGAUAAUGGAUAUAAGUGAUACUGGUGAAUAUGAAGACAACAGGAAGGAAUUAAUGCAGAAGAAGAAAUCUUGGAGAACAUCAUCAUUGAAAGGAUAGACCAUUAAAAGGAUCUUUGUUGAGGAGCAAUCAGAGAUGUCAGAGGAAAUUUUUACAAAGGUGUUGUCAUAGACACCAAUGGAAGUUCUGGAGGUGACAUCAGAUGAGGCAGGGUAUGCAAGUUUCUCCAGAACAUUCAUCUUCAACCUGGCAGGAGUCCCACUUGCUCACUCUCAGCGUCCUGGACAAGAUUGCUUUGAGCUUUCCUGCUUCAUGGUUUUGUUUCUUUGGUUCCUUUUUGGAUUAAGUCAUUCUUUUAUUGUUGUUUUCUUUUAAACCCUAGCUAUGCUUGGAUUUUAAAGCCAUAGAACAGUAACAGUAUAUGUCAGUGUAAAACAGGCUGGAUUGGAGACCCACUCCUGCCACUUACUAGCUGGGCAAGUGUUGAAAUCAUGAAAACUUUGUUUCUUCAUCUUUAA